rnacentral:rRNA from 1 species
UACGAAGGGGCGAGCGUUGUUCGGAUUUACUGGGCGUAAAGGGCGCGCAGGCGGCUCAUUUUGUCAGGCGUGAAAGCCCCGGGCUUAACCUGGGAACUGCGUUUGAUACGGAUGGGCUAGAGUUCGGGAGAGGAGAGUGGAAUUCCCAGUGUAGAGGUGAAAUUCGUAGAUAUUGGGAAGAACACCGGUGGCGAAGGCGGCGACCUGGUCCGAUACUGACGCUGAGGCGCGAAAGCGUGGGAGCAAACAGG